rnacentral:lncRNA from 1 species
UAUGUCUGAACCCUGAAGCCGCUUGUAGUUCUAUUUAAAUUCAAGAUCAAGCCCAACGGCCCUUGAAGAAAUCACAAGUCCAAUUCAAAAUCAAGUGUCCACCACCCUUGAAUCAUAAUCAACUCCAGAUAAAAGGCGUAAGUUCGAACCUCUGGAGGAAGCCAGAACACCCUCCAUCCCAGUUCAAGAUUAAGCUUAUGGAAAAUCAACAAUUGGAGGAAACCAAAAAACACUCCAACCUAGUUCAAUAUCAA